rnacentral:pre_miRNA from 1 species
AGAGGGAUAGCUGGGUCAAAUGGCAAGUUUUCCAAGGAAUCUCCAUACUGCUUUCCAGAUUGGUUGCACCAAUUUGUAGUCCCACCAGCAAU